UGAAGGAAAACAUUUUUGAAAUGGGGAGUGAGGAAAACAUACUUCAAAAGGAUUCUCUCUCCCCAUAAGUUAUUUCUAUGAAGACUCACCAAAGGGACCACAUGAUAAUACAUUCCCUCCACUCAGUAAAAAAAACAUGUCCCUCACUCCUUUCCUUAAAACCCUCUCACAAAACGCACAGAAACAAAAAACAAAAAACAAAGCAUUGUUAUCAAAAAACUCUGAGAUUCAUCUUCAAUAAUCUCUAUUCAAUUUUUCUCAC
rnacentral:lncRNA from 1 species